AGGUCGGUGACUAAACAAGUACUCGCUGCUAUAUUAUCCAGGCCAUUUGCUUGAACAUUUCCUCUGGUUAAAAGCAAGUAUUUGUUCUUUCAAGUGUUUGUUUCGUUCGGGCUCCAAAAGUUAAAGAGCAUAUUUUCAGCCAUGUAGGCAAAAUUGGGGCAAACAUACUUUUAAAAGGGAUAAUGGAUCCUUAUAAAAGAAAUUAAGGUCAAUAUAUAUUCAUUGCUACUAUUUUGUGCAAGAAACUAUGCUAGGUCUGAAGAAGCUGCCAAAGGAGUACAACAUCUAUGUUCAUAAUGCAUAAGCAGUCCAAUGAAUAAACAGUGAAAUAUAUUCCAUGUUGUCAGAGAACAUCUUUAAAUGAUAUGAAGAUUUACUGGAGGAAGAUACGUAACAUGACAAGAGGGAAUAGAAUCUGGGGAACACUUAAUAGAAAAAGGCUAAUGAACAGUCAAUAGAAUUUCUACUAGCAGAAAUGGAGAGCGUGGAGUUAGUGCUAUUGACAGAGUUAUCAAUGUGAGCAAAACCAAACACCAAAAGUGGACCAUGUCCAUCGUCUUUGGGGAGAACAGUAGAAACUUCAGGGAGGUUGUGAUACAGGCACCACCUGGAGAUGGUACAACAGAACAAUGUCUUAC
rnacentral:lncRNA from 1 species